GACGAACGCUGGCGGCGUGCUUAACACAUGCAAGUCGAACGGAAAGGCCCUGCUUGCAGGGUACUCGAGUGGCGAGCGGGUGAGUAACACGUGGGUGAUCUGCCCUGCACUUCGGGAUAAGCUUGGGAAACUGGGUCUAAUACCGGAUAGGAACCAUCUUUAGUGUGGUGGUUGGAAAGUUUUUUCGGUGUAGGAUGAGCUCGCGGCCUAUCAGCUUGUUGGUGGGGUAAUGGCCUACCAAGGCGGCGACGGGUAGCCGGCCUGAGAGGGUGUACGGCCACAUUGGGACUGAGAUACGGCCCAGACUCCGACGGGAGGCAGCAGUGGGGAAUAUUGCACAAUGGGCGCAAGCCUGGUGCAGCGACGCCGCGUGGGGGAUGAAGGCCUUCGGGUUGUAAACUCCUUUCGCUAGGGACGAAGCUUUGUUGUGACGGUACCUAGAUAAGAAGCACCGGCUAACUACGUG
rnacentral:rRNA from 1 species